rnacentral:rRNA from 1 species
UACGUAGGGUGCAAGCGUUGUCCGGAAUUAUUGGGCGUAAAGAGCGUGUAGGCGGCCAGGUAGGUCUGGUGUGAAAACUCGAGGCUUAACCUCGAGAUGUCAUCGGAAACCAUUUGGCUAGAGUCCGGAAGAGGAGAGUGGAAUUCCUGGUGUAGCGGUGAAAUGCGCAGAUAUCAGGAAGAACACCAAUGGCGAAAGCAGCUCUCUGGGACGGUACUGACGCUGAGACGCGAAAGCGUGGGGAGCGAACAGG